AUGCACACUGGCGGCGUGCCUAAUACCUUCAAGUCGAGCGAACAGAUGAGGAGCUUGCUCCUCUGACGUUAGCGGCGGACGGGUGAGUAACACGUGGAUAACCUACCUAUAAGACUGGGAUAACUUCGGGAAACCGGAGCUAAUACCGGAUAAUAUAUUGAACCGCAUGGUUCAAUAGUGAAAGACGGUUUUGCUGUCACUUAUAGAUGGAUCCGCGCCGCAUUAGCUAGUUGGUAAGGUAACGGCUUACCAAGGCAACGAUGCGUAGCCGACCUGAGAGGGUGAUCGGCCACACUGGAACUGAGACACGGUCCAGACUCCUACGGGAGGCAGCAGUAGGGAAUCUUCCGCAAUGGGCGAAAACCUGACGGAGCAACGCCGCGUGAGUGAUGAAGGUCUUCGGAUCGUAAAACUCUGUUAUUAGGGAAGAACAAAUGUGUAAGUAACUAUGCACGUCUUGACGGUACCUAAUCAGAAAGCCACGGCUAACUACGUG
rnacentral:rRNA from 1 species